CUACGGGAGGCAGCAGUGGGGAAUAUUGCACAAUGGGGGAAACCCUGAUGCAGCCAUGCCGCGUGUGUGUAGAAGGCCUUCGGGUUGUAAAGCACUUUCAGCGGGGAGGAAGGGAAUGUGGCUAAUAUCCACAUUCAUUGACGUUACCCGCAGAAGAAGCACCGGCUAACUCCGUGCCAGCAGCCGCGGUAAUACGGAGGGUGCAAGCGUUAAUCGGAAUAACUGGGCGUAAAGCGCACGCAGGCGGUUUGAUUAGUCAGAUGUGAAAUCCCCGGGCUCAACCUGGGAACUGCAUUUGAAACUGGCAAACUAGAGUCUUGUAGAGGGGGGUAGAAUUCCAGGUGUAGCGGUGAAAUGCGUAGAGAUCUGGAGGAAUACCAGUGGCGAAGGCGGCCCCCUGGACAAAGACUGACGCUCAGGUGCGAAAGCGUGGGGAGCAAACAGGAUUAGAUACCCCAGUAGUC
rnacentral:rRNA from 1 species